rnacentral:rRNA from 1 species
UACGUAGGCAGCAAGCGUUGUUCGGAAUUACUGGGCGUAAAGAGUGUGUAGGCGGUGCUCUAAGUUCGGUGUGAAAUCUCCCGGCUCAACUGGGAGGGUGCGGCGGAAACUGGAAUGCUAGAGGGUGGGAGAGGUAAGCGGAAUUCCUGGUGUAGCGGUGGAAUGCGCAGAUAUCAGGAGGAACACCGAUGGCGAUGGCAGCUCGCUGGGACGGUACUGACGCUGAGGCGCGAAAGCGUGGGGAGCGAACAGG